rnacentral:rRNA from 1 species
UACGUAGGGUGCGAGCGUUACUCGGAAUUACUGGGCGUAAAGCGUGCGCAGGCGGUUUGCUAAGUCCGCUGUGAAAUCCCCGGGCUCAACCUGGGAAUGGCGGUGGAAACUGGCGAGCUAGAGUGUGGCAGAGGGGGGUGGAAUUCCACGUGUAGCAGUGAAAUGCGUAGAGAUGUGGAGGAACACCAAUGGCGAAGGCAGCCCCCUGGGUUGACACUGACGCUCAGGCACGAAAGCGUGGGGAGCAAACAGG